AGCACUAGCUCGCAGGUCUGCAAGCCCUGGGUUGGAUCCUGGCUGUGCCAGGAUUCCUGAGGAGGGGGCUCCUGGGCAAGUUACCGGACUUCACUGGGUUUCAGUCUCUUCACCUGCAAGAUAGGAUUUACUCCGCAGAGAUGUUAUUUCUGAGUGGUUGGGGCACAAGGAACCCGUUGACAAAAACAAAGAAGAAAAUGAUUUUAUCACAGAAUCCUACUUCCAGAAUUAUGGGGAAAUUUUACCCAUAGUAUAAUUCACAAGUCAAAGAGCGAGGAGGGCUGGCAUCUUUCGCUUGGCAGAUACGCUUGGAAGGGGAAGAACGGGAGGCAAGGAAGCGAAAAGGGAAGAAUAUAACAGCAGGAAAUCAGGAAACUUGAAGUCAGGUUCCAACUCCUUCACAAACAGUGUGCGAAGUUGAGUAAGUCACUGAAUCUCUCCUAACCUCAGUUUCCCUCUGAAAAAUGACGGUUGUUUGCAGGCGCAAGAGCUAACACAUGUGUAAGGGUCUUUAAUAAACGGUAAAGGACUACAUACAAGGAAAGUGUUAUUUUGAGUAAGAAUGCUGAGUCCCGAGUUUAGAAGUCCCUUGUGACACUCUAUAGAUGAGACCCACUGACCAGUUGUUGGGGAGGGGAGGGUGCGUGUAAACAGACCAACCCAUUGACCAAGGGACAUGAAAUUGAGGCUCAAAUCUUUGGCAUCCUUUAUGCCAAUUCAGCAGGUGGAGGAACUGUCAAGCCCACCAAAGGAUGUAUCAAUAAUGCAGAAAGAAGGCUCCUGAAAGCAGAAUGCUCGGGUGUUUACCCAGGUAAAGCUGAGAGGGUACCGAGGGGAGGAUGAUCAUCUGAUCACGCGAAGGGAAAAAUACACAGAUGGACACAAUGCAUACCACCCGCCCGCCCAGGGAACCGGGGCAGCUUGCACAACUCUCUAUUGACCUGUCAAUGUUGACUUGUCCUUACUCAUUUACUGGGAUUUAAGAGAAAAAAAGAGAAAUGACAUGUUGUGCAUCUCCCUCGUAAAGGUUCUGAGCGGUGAACCCUGCCAGUCUGUCAUCAUUUGACCCCUCUACGAGGCCUGAAGUCCACCGAUGCUGCUGAAGCUGCCGAGGCUCCGAGAAGAGGAUGUGGUUUUCUUUAAGUAACAGAUGACGUGUUUGGGGGCUAGUGUGUGACUACACAGAGAUGGAGGUGUCAUGAGAGGAAGCAGGCAGCAGCCGCCUCCCAUAAAGACAUAAACAAGGACGAACCGCCCCCACAUGCCUGUGGGGUGGGGUGGGGUGGGGAAUAGCACCACAGCCCUUUCUUGGCUAAAGGAACGGCAAAUUAUCUGAUGAUUCUUUGGUGCUGUAAAACUGUGAGCUCUCAAGUUUUAAAAGAGUAGGAUCUGGACUUCUCUGGUGGCGCAGUGGUGAAGAAUCCACCUGCCAAUGCAGGGGGCACAAGUUCGAUCCCUGGUCCAGGAAGAUCCCACGUGCCGUGGAGCAACUAAGCCUGUGUGCUACAACUACUGAGUCUGUACUCUAGAGCCCUCGAGCCACAACUACUGAGCCCAUGUGCCAUGACUGCUGAAGCCUGAACGCCUAGAGCCUGUGUUCUGCAACAAGAGAAGCCACCACACUGAGAAGCUCACGCACCGCAACCAAGAGUAGCCUCUGCUCUCCGUAACUAGAGAAAGCCCACAUGCAGCAACGAAGACCCAA